rnacentral:rRNA from 1 species
GAUGAACGUUGACAGAAUGCUUAACACAUGCAAGUCAACUUGAAUUUGGGUUUUUAACUUAGGUUUGGGUGGCGGACGGGUGAGUAACGCGUAAAGAACUUGCCUCACAGCUAGGGACAACAUUUGGAAACGAAUGCUAAUACCUAAUAUUAUGAUAAUAGGGCAUCCUAUAAUUAUGAAAGCUAUAAGCGCUGUGAGAGAGCUUUGCGUCCCAUUAGCUAGUUGGAGAGGUAACGGCUCACCAAGGCGAUGAUGGGUAGCCGGCCUGAGAGGGUGAUCGGCCACAAGGGGACUGAGACACGGCCCUUACUCCUACGGGAGGCAGCAGUGGGGAAUAUUGGACAAUGGACCGAGAGUCUGAUCCAGCAAUUCUGUGUGCACGAUGAAGUUUUUCGGAAUGUAAAGUGCUUUCAGUUGGGAAGAAACAAAUGACGGUACCAACAGAAGAAGUGACGGCUAAAUACGUG